rnacentral:rRNA from 1 species
GAUGAACGCUGGCGGCGUGCCUAACACAUGCAAGUCGAGCGGACAGACGAGGCGCUUGCGGCUCGGACGUGAGGGGCGGACGGGAGUGUAACACGUGUAUAACGUACUUAUAAGACGGGGAAAACUAGGGGAAACCGGAGCUAAUACCGGAGAAGAUAUUGAAGCACAGGGGUGAAUAGUGAAAGACGGUGGUGCGGGCACGUAUAGAUGGAUCCGCGCCGCAUUAGCGAGUAGGUACGGUAACGGGUUACGAAGGGGAGGAGGCGUAGCCGACCUGUGAGGGUGAUCGCCCACCCUGGAACUUGGCCACCGUCCAGACUCCUACGGGACGCCCCAGUAGGGUAUCUUCCGCAAUGGUCGGAAGCCUGACACAGCGGCGCCGCGUGAGUGGUGACGAUCUUCGGUUCGUAAUACUCUGUUAUUAGUUAUAAACAAAUGUGUCAGUAAACAUGCCCGUCUUGACGGUACCGAAUCAGAAAGCACCGGCUAACUACGUG